CUUGUUUUAGGAUUUGUUGCCCAACUGUACAUAGAGAUGUUCCUUAAAUGGACACUAAGUACCAAAACCAAUGCAUCUUAAUGUAGUAGUUUUGAUCGAUAGAUGAUGCUCCUUUUGUCUGAGAGUAAAACAUUGCCAUUUCUCAGAAAUUGUAAUGCUUAGAUUUGAAUGAAAAUACUCCCCUAUAUAGCCGCAAGAGAGUCACUUCCAUUUUCAGAUUUUUGAA